AUGAACGCUAGCUACAGGCUUAACACAUGCAAGUCGAGGGGCAGCAUGGUCUUAGCUUGCUAAGGCCGAUGGCGACCGGCGCACGGGUGAGUAACACGUAUCCAACCUGCCGUCUACUCUUGGACAGCCUUCUGAAAGGAAGAUUAAUACAAGAUGGCAUCAUGAGUCCGCAUGUUCACAUGAUUAAAGGUAUUCCGGUAGACGAUGGGGAUGCGUUCCAUUAGAUAGUAGGCGGGGUAACGGCCCACCUAGUCUUCGAUGGAUAGGGGUUCUGAGAGGAAGGUCCCCCACAUUGGAACUGAGACACGGUCCAAACUCCUACGGGAGGCAGCAGUGAGGAAUAUUGGUCAAUGGGCGAGAGCCUGAACCAGCCAAGUAGCGUGAAGGAUGACUGCCCUAUGGGUUGUAAACUUCUUUUAUAAAGGAAUAAAGUCGGGUAUGCAUACCCGUUUGCAUGUACUUUAUGAAUAAGGAUCGGCUAACUCCGUGCCAGCAGCCGCGGUAAUACGGAGGAUCCGAGCGUUAUCCGGAUUUAUUGGGUUUAAAGGGAGCGUAGAUGGAUGUUUAAGUCAGUUGUGAAAGUUUGCGGCUCAACCGUAAAAUUGCAGUUGAUACUGGAUAUCUUGAGUGCAGUUGAGGCAGGCGGAAUUCGUGGUGUAGCGGUGAAAUGCUUAGAUAUCACGAAGAACUCCGAUUGCGAAGGCAGCCUGCUAAGCUGCAACUGACAUUGAGGCUCGAAAGUGUGGGUAUCAAACAGGAUUAGAUACCCUGGUAGUCCACACGGUAAACGAUGAAUACUCGCUGUUUGCGAUAUACAGCAAGCGGCCAAGCGAAAGCGUUAAGUAUUCCACCUGGGGAGUACGCCGGCAACGGUGAAACUCAAAGGAAUUGACGGGGGCCCGCACAAGCGGUGGAGCAUGUGGUUUAAUUCGAAGCAACGCGAAGAACCUUACCAGGCCUUGACAUCCCUUGCAGAGGUAUAGAGAUAUAUCCGAGGUUAUCAAGGAGACAGGUGGUGCAUGGUUGUCGUCAGCUCGUGCCGUGAGGUGUCGGCUUAAGUGCCAUAACGAGCGCAACCCUUGUUGUCAGUUACUAACAGGAUUUGCUGAGGACUCUGACAAGACUGCCAUCGUAAGAUGUGAGGAAGGUGGGGAUGACGUCAAAUCAGCACGGCCCUUACGUCCGGGGCUACACACGUGUUACAAUGGGGGGUACAGAGGGCCGCUACCACGCGAGUGGAUGCCAAUCCCCAAAACCUCUCUCAGUUCGGACUGGAGUCUGCAACCCGACUCCACGAAGCUGGAUUCGCUAGUAAUCGCGCAUCAGCCACGGCGCGGUGAAUACGUUCCCGGGCCUUGUACACACCGCCCGUCAAGCCAUGGGAGCCGGGGGUACCUGAAGUGCGUAACCGCGAGGAGCGCCCUAGGGUAAAACUGGUGACUGGGGCU
rnacentral:rRNA from 1 species